AUUGAACGCUGGCGGCAUGCCUUACACAUGCAAGUCGAACGGUAACAGGUCUUCGGAUGCUGACGAGUGGCGAACGGGUGAGUAAUACAUCGGAACGUGCCUAGUAGUGGGGGAUAACUACUCGAAAGAGUGGCUAAUACCGCAUGAGAUCUACGGAUGAAAGCAGGGGAUCGCAAGACCUUGUGCUACUAGAGCGGCCGAUGGCAGAUUAGGUAGUUGGUAGGAUAAAAGCUUACCAAGCCGAAGAUCUGUAGCUGGUCUGAGAGGACGGUCAUCCAAACUGGGACUGAGACACGGCCCAGACUCCUACGGGAGGCAGCAGUGGGGAAUUUUGGACAAUGGGCGAAAGCCUGAUCCAGCAAUGCCGCGUGCAGGCUGAAGGCCUUCGGGUUGUAAACUGCUUUUGUACGGAACGAAAAGCCCCGGGUUAAUACCCUGGGGUCAUGACGGUACCGUAAGAAUAAGCACCGGCUAACUACGUGCCAGCCGCCGCGGUAA
rnacentral:rRNA from 1 species